GAUGAAGAACGUAGCGAAAUGCGAUACUUGGUGUGAAUUGCAGAAUCCCGUGAACCAUCGCCUCACUUUGUAGGUAUUUGCUUGGGGUGAAUGUUGGCCUCCCGUGAGCUUUGUCUCACGGUUGGUUGAAAAUCGAGUGCAUGGUGUCGGGUGUACCAUGAUGGAUGGUGGUUGAGUGAUGAUGCUCGAGACCAAUCAUGGGUAACUCCACCAGAAUUGGGCUCGGUGACCCACAUGCGUCCCUUGGAUGCUCCCUAAGGAGACCUCAGGUCAGGCGGGGCUACCCGCUGAGUUUAAGCAUAUCAAUAAGCGGAGGA
rnacentral:misc_RNA from 1 species